rnacentral:rRNA from 1 species
AGACGACGCUGGCGGCGUGCUUAACACAUGCAAGUCGAACGGUGAACCAGAGCUUGCUCUGGGGAUCAGUGGCGAACGGGUGAGUAACACGUGGGCAACCUGCCCCCAGACUCUGGGAUAACCUCGGGAAACCGAUGCUAAUACCGGAUACGACCACUUCGGACAUCCGACGGUGGUGGAAAGUUUUUCGGUCUGGGAUGGGCCCCGCGGCCUAUCAGCUAGUUGGUGGGAUAAUGGCCUACCAAGGCGACGACGGGUAGCCGGCCUGAGAGGGCGACCGGCCACACUGGAACUGAGACACGGUCCAGACUCCUACGGGAGGCAGCAGUGGGGAAUAUUGCACAAUGGGCGAAAGCCUGAUGCAGCGACGCCGCGUGAGGGACGACGGCCUUCGGGUUGUAAACCUCUUUCAGCAGGGACGAAGCGAAAGUGACUGUACCUGCAGAAGAAGCACCGGCUAACUACGUG